rnacentral:rRNA from 1 species
UGGGGAAUAUUGGACAAUGGGCGAAAGCCUGAUCCAGCAAUGCCGCGUGAGUGAUGAAGGCCUUAGGGUUGUAAAGCUCUUUUACCCGGGAUGAUAAUGACAGUACCGGGAGAAUAAGCCCCGGCUAACUCCGUGCCAGCAGCCGCGGUAAUACGGAGGGGGCUAGCGUUGUUCGGAAUUACUGGGCGUAAAGCGCGCGUAGGCGGCUUUGUAAGUUAGAGGUGAAAGCCCGGGGCUCAACCCCGGAAUUGCCUUUAAGACUGCAUCGCUAGAAUCGUGGAGAGGUAAGUGGAAUUCCGAGUGUAGAGGUGAAAUUCGUAGAUAUUCGGAAGAACACCAGUGGCGAAGGCGACUUACUGGACACGUAUUGACGCUGAGGUGCGAA